UUUGUUAUGGAAAAUUUCCUAACCCUAACAUUGACCCAUUUGAAAAAGAUUUAAACUCCAUCGUUAUCUUCAUCAUAAUCUUUUCUUGUAUCUUCGUUCAGCCUAGAUUUCCAAAAUCGUUAUAUGUUCUCCAUUCUUUUCCCUAAUUGAUACUUUCUCAAGGACGGUGUUGAAACGCCACUUGGUACAAUAGCUGCCAUGGAGUCGAGCGCCCUCUCCACUACGCUUCAAGAUAUCAAUGGAAGCAACCUUAGCAGACAGAGGAAGACUAAACGCAAAGAGAUUGUAGAAAAGAGGAAAGCAAUCAAUGAGUUGAUUAAAGCAGCUUCUGUUGAGAAUGACCAUCUUGCUUCCUUCCCAGCCUUUCGCCAAUUCGAUCGAACUGGUUUCUCAGUUUACUUAGAAUCAGGGAGUGGAGAUAAACUCUCAUCUUCGUUGAAGCGAGAGCUACAAAAGCUUGUUAAGGAUAAUAUGGAGAGGCAUUAUGGGCAUGAGUGGGCUACUGAAGAGAAAGUGAAGCGAAGAGAAAUGGUUACUCCUGAAGCACGUUAUAUAUUCGUGUAUGAGGCUGCGAAUAAUAAUCGUAAGUUUAUAGAGAAUGAGAUGAUUUUGGUUGGAUUUGUGCAUUAUCGGUUUACUCUGGAGGAAGAGUUCCCUGUUCUUUAUGUAUAUGAAAUUCAGCUUCAAUCUCGUGUCCAAGGCAAGGGAUUGGGCAAAUUCCUAAUGCAACUAAUUGAAUGUAUUGCUCGUAAGAGUUGCAUGAGUGCCGUGGUCUUAACAGUCCAGAAAGCAAAUGAGGCAGCUAUGGACUUCUAUAAAACUAAGCUUAGAUACAAUAUAUCAAGCAUUUCGCCUUCAAUGAUGGGAGUUGAUAAGAAUUAUGAAAUUCUUUGCAAAGCAUUUGAUAGUGAAGCUGAAGCCAUAUUGCAGAAACACUUAAAAGAAUAGAAUUUUACUUAACUGGCGACCCUUAGAGAUGCAAAGUGACAACAACAAAAAAUUUUUUGCUUGAUUCAAAAUUUUCUCACGGAUUCAUCUUCUAGGUUUCUUCUUUUUAGUCAGGUGAGCUUCAAAUUCAUUUCCUUUUGUUAUGGGUAUCCAUUAGUUUUUCUUUUAACCAAUUCAGUGGUUCUUCUUUUCCCAUUUUUUAAACUGGGGUUUCCUGUUUUUUAGGAUUUUUCUUUUUGUGUAUUUAUAUAUAUUCAUUAUCAAUUGCUUGUUACUAGUAAUCAAGGUCUUUUUCUUUUUCUUUUCUUUUUGGUCAAUGCUGGAGAAAAGAUCUGAGGCUUUGAACAAAUAUGUUCUAUUGUGCUGACAGUAGUGGAGGAAAGGUCUGAGGUGUAUCAAGAUGGUAGCAUCACCAUGGCAGCAUGGCAGUUGCAGACAUACACUCGUAUGCCAGCUGAUAUGGUGCCGCUUUCUUGGGAUACUACUGAUGGCUUCUAGCUUGGUUCCUUCACAUAUUCAUCAUGACAGCUACUGGGCUCCCUAGGAGAAUGCAGAUCCCAUCGACUUGUUGCAAGAACUUGAGACCCAUAUCUCUUUUGUGAUCCGGGUUUUCUUCUUUACCUUUUUGUUCCUGCAUUGUUUUAUUAUUAUUUCUUCAAAAACCAAGCAAGUAACAUAUCCUUUCCUUUUUAUUUGCGGGAAAAGUACAGAAACGUACCUCAUGCCCUUUUUACACUUAAAAGAUUGAGUUUUUUUUUUCGUGAUAAAGAAAUAUUAAUAUUCUAUAAUUUAAUUUUUUUUUAUACAUUUUUACUACAUUACAAAUUUGAUAUCUUUAGAUUUCUAUAAUUUGAUAUUAAUAUAAUAUUCAUUUUCAAUAAUAAGAUUAUUUUAUAGAUGAUUUACCACCAAAUCAACUAUCAUAAUACUACUAAAAGUACUAUAAUUUUAUUUUAGAAAUUAUUUAUGUUUAUUCUUAGUAAUAUUAAAAAUAUAUAUUAAUUUUAUUUAAUAUGAAUUCAAUGUAGUUAGUUAUAUGCUAAUUUACUCAAUAAGUGAUUUUUUUAUUGAAAAUGAAUAUUAUAUUAAAUAUUAAAUCAUAAAAAUCUAAAGAUAUUGGUUUGUAAUGUAAUAAAAAUGUAAAGAAAUUAAAUUAUUGGGUACUCUUUUGUCACGAAAAAAAUCAGUCCUUUAAGUGUAAACUCGUUAAACUAUGCCCUUCACUGCAUGGAAAGUCGGAAACACCUGGAGUUUAUGCACCACUAUUCGGCUGCGCAUGAUGGCGUUGAUCAUCCCCAUUGGGUUGCAUCAUCUAGCUAACAUUCUCAAGGAGCAGUCUAGUAAUAUCCGCUCGAUGGAGGACUUUGCAGAGAGAUAGUGGGACAUCAUUAAUACUUCCCUUUUUUCUUGCAGGGAGAUGACUAUCAAGAAUUUGGAAUACUUUCUUUUUUUCUUACAGGGAGAUGGCUAUCAAGAAUUUGGAAACCCGAGAUCUGUUUGAAUUCAAAUUUUAAUAUAAAUUUUAAAGAUUUAAAUUUGAAACGUUUUGAAAUCAAAACUGCGGGUUGAACUCGGAAUAAUUCAAAUGUGAGAUGAUCCGAGUGAUCCAAGAUUAGACCAA